rnacentral:rRNA from 1 species
AAACCAGGAUUAGAUACCCUAUUAUACUUUAAUUUCUUUGGUAGUAUUACUAUUUUUGAUAAACCAAUGUAGUUUGGCGGCAUUCAAUCACUUUAGAGGAACCUGUCUAUUAAUCGACUCUCCACGAUAUCUUUCACUUUUAUUUAUAUUUUAUAUACCACCAUCUUUUAGGAUUAAUAUAAAUAUUCUUUCCUUAAUAGAAACUUCUUAUAAGUUAGGUAAAGGUGUAGACUAUAUAAAAGAUAAGAUGGGUUACAUUAAGAAAUACUAAAGGAUAAUCAUUCAAA